GACGAACGCUGGCGGCGUGCUUAACACAUGCCAGUCGAACGGAAAGGCCCUGCUUUUGUGGGGUGCUCGAGUGGCGAACGUGUGAGUAACACGUGAGUAACCUGCCCUUGACUUUGGGAUAACUUCAGGAAACUGGGGCUAAUACCGGAUAGGAGCGCCUGCUGCAUGGUGGGGGUUGGAAAGUUUCGGCGGUUGGGGAUGGACCCGCGGCUUAUCAGCUUGUUGGUGGGGUAGUGGCUUACCAAGGCUUUGACGGGUAGCCGGCCUGAGAGGGUGACCGGCCACAUUGGGACUGAGAUACGGCCCAGACUCCUACGCGAGGCAGCAGUGGGGAAUAUUGCCCAAUGGGCGGAAGCCUGAUGCAGCAACGCCGCGUGCGGGAUGACGGCCUUCGGGUUGUAAACCGCUUUCGCCUGUGACGAAGCGUUAGUGACGGUAAUGGGUCAAGAAGCACCGGCUAACUACGUG
rnacentral:rRNA from 1 species